ACACACACCGGCGUACUGGAACCUCUCUCGCGAUCCCGCACCCAGCUUGAAUUCAGCAAGAAUCGAAAACAGGUGUGCCCCCGUGUCCAACAACCGUCGUAUCUACAGCGAUCCUUAGAGAACAAUUAAGGCCAGUUGACAGUAAAGAACAAUCAGUGUGUAUUUGAAGUCCAUGCUGAGAGAGCAUCAAUCUUCUGGCAGCUGCAAGACUGACCUAUCAACCGAGGCAUUUCUUCAUUCCCUGCCAUUGUCUCCUCCUCUUGAGAUCGCCAUCAGGCACAGUCACUUUUCUACAAACAGGCAAUAGGACUCCCGCUGCCACCCUGCCCAGAUUUUAGUCCUCUACUGCUGAUAAAGUGAGCAAAGAUACGUGGCACUUCCUGAACCCAAAUACUCUUCUGAGCUGAUUCUAAAUCCACACAGAAUCAACCUACCUCCUAUUACCUCCUUCCAAGCUCUGUGUCCCAUUCUCUCAUUUCAGUCUCAGCUCCAGACAUCAGUGAAUUCAAUGUGAUACAUCAGGGGACAUCACAGGACUUCCCUACUUGAAAAUCAAGCAAUCGUGUCCCUGAAACACUCUGUCUUUAUUCAUGCUCAGUUACCGUAAAGUAGAUGCAACUCUAAGAACCUAUGGAUUUUUUUAUUGCCACUAAUAGAUCAUGAUUUACAGCAAAAUUUUAAAAGGUCCAAUUUUACUCACAUAGGAAACAAGAAGAAAACAUUCAGCAAGAAGCAUUUCUUUUGCUUUAUCUUUCCCAGUUAAAUAUGACUUUGAAAAAGAAGAGCACACCUCAUUAGCCGUAAUUGUCUGAUUAAUACAAAGAAAUGGACUCAUAUCACGGGGUUCUACUACCCCUAUGGUAGUGUUUACUAUCCUUAUUUCACUCAAUAAUUACAGUUACUUUAACCAGAAUGCCUGCCUUGUUUGGCAUUUUGGGAGAGGAAGCAUAUGACUGUAAACCCUCUUCAAACUUUCAGACUUACGUUUGCUUCUUCUAAGUCCAUCGACUUUAUACAUAAAUGACUUCUUUUUAAAAAUAAAUAAAUAAAUAAAUAAAUAAAUGAUUUCUUUCCUGAUCUUCAUAUAACAAGUAUGUAGCCUUUGCAAUUUCCAGGGCAGUCUACAGGUUUAAAAUCUGGCCGUCCUGGAGAA
rnacentral:lncRNA from 10 species